GGGUACUCGAGCGGCGAACGGGUGAGUAACACGUGAGUAACCUGCCCCUGACUCUGGGAUAAGCCUGGGAAACUGGGUCUAAUACCGGAUACGACCAUUUCUCGCAUGGGAUGGUGGUGGAAAGUUUUUUCGGUUGGGGAUGGGCUCGCGGCCUAUCAGCUUGUUGGUGGGGUGAUGGCCUACCAAGGCGACGACGGGUAGCCGGCCUGAGAGGGCGACCGGCCACACUGGGACUGAGACACGGCCCAGACUCCUACGGGAGGCAGCAGUGGGGAAUAUUGCGCAAUGGGCGGAAGCCUGACGCAGCGACGCCGCGUGGGGGAUGACGGCCUUCGGGUUGUAAACCUCUUUCAGCAGGGACGAAGUUGACGUGUACCUGUAGAAGAAGCGCCGGCUAACUACGUGCCAGCAGCCGCGGUAAUACGUAGGGCGCAAGCGUUGUCCGGAAUUAUUGGGCGUAAAGAGCUCGUAGGUGGCUUGUCGCGUCUGCCGUGAAAGCCCGUGGCUUAACUACGGGUCUGCGGUGGAUACGGGCAGGCUAGAGGCUGGUAGGGGCAAGCGGAAUUCCUGGUGUAGCGGUGAAAUGCGCAGAUAUCAGGAGGAACACCGGUGGCGAAGGCGGCUUGCUGGGCCAG
rnacentral:rRNA from 1 species